UCUCAUAUUGCAAUUAAGGAAAAAGGUACAUUUUAGAGACAAGCACAUAAUAAAUCAUGCCUGUAGUGUUUAAGUUAUGAGCAUCUAAAUUAUAAAGGGUUAAAGUUAUUGAAAGAUAAAAAUAUAACCAUUGUAUUACCCAAGAUUGCUAAAAAGAAAAAAGUUUGUAAAGAAUGCAUUUUUGACAAAAUUUAUUACCUCCCAUUAACAUUUUUUAGAGGGUUUAAGUUUCAUUCGAGUUAGUGCAUGCUUAUAUUUGUAGUCUUAUGUUGACGCAAACUUUAAACAACAAGAAACAUUUUUUUUUUGUUAUUUGAUGAUCAUACAAGGAUGGUGUGUAAAAGUCUGAAACUAAGGACCCUGAAUGCCCUUCUCGUUUAGUUUGAAUUGAGGACAGAAGUGUGUAUGUGUGGCUGAAGUUGAGUGAGCAUGGUGAACCUGCACAUGGAUAAAGUCUGAAACCUAAUCCAAACGUGGAUAUGUAUUUGUGAGUGUAGGUCACUUAGUAAAUAUACCUGCAGUAGCAAUUAUAAGAUUUGUAUAUGUGUGUUAUCCAUGCAAUGGGGGGAUUCAUUUUACCUCUCCUCAAUGAUGACAUAAACGGUAUUGUACGAUGAAAUCUUGAAAAUAACCUUUCGAGUGUAUAUGUGGUUUCUGGCUCACCCGCCAUCCCUUUUGCUCCGAUAUGGUCACAGGGAGACUCGGAAUCAAAUUCCGAGCGAAAAUAAAAAAAUUUAACCUUUUCUGGCAGUCGGCAGUGGCUCCAGUGCGGCAGCGAUGGGGUUGGUCUUCUUCUCCAGCGUCUGAUUUUUCUUCUUCGGCGAGGACAGGUGUGGCUAGGGUUAGAGUUUCCUGAGACGCGAUGUUUAAAUACUUAUCCUGUGUCGAUUUGGGUCCUCGCUCCACGUCGACGUGGAGCGAGGAGAGUUGUCGGAUCGUUGCUUAUUUAGGCUGAUUGUGUGAAAAAAUCUGGACCGUUCAUCGUGAUUAAUCUUGUCCGAUCGCGUCUAAAGAGAGAAUGCAUCUGAGUUGUCUGUGUGCGCGAGACGCAAUCGGGGCCGUUGGAUCAUUGGGCAUGCGAAUUGCCUGCGGACAUCGAUGUCAGUGUGUUUUGCCACGCGGCGUGCUCUAAUUCUUCGUAGCUGCUGACUGAAUUGUCCCACAUCACUAAUUUUUUAUUUUUUUACGAUUUUGUCCCAUAUUUUCAAAUUUUCUUUUAAAAAUACUCAAAUUUAUUCAAAAUUUUACUUUUUUCUUUCAAAAUUAUUUUUAAUUUCAUCCUUAUUUUAUUUUUUUUAAUAAUUUAAAUAAAAUAAAAUAAAUUAUUUAUAUAAUUUUUAUAAAUAAAAAAGAUCAUCUCAAACUAAUUUUUGAGCUCAAGUAUUAUAUGGCAUGUGUGUGUGUGUGUGUAUAUAUAAGCUGAAGCAAAAAUUAGAAGUACCUUUUAAAUUUCUUCAGUUCAAAGCCGAAGUUAAAAAGAGAGAGCUGAAAGGAUUUAAAGUUUCUGAUGACUGAUUUAAGGAGUAAUGGUGUAAGUACAUAUGCAGAUAGUAUAAUUCCCUUCCAGUAUGUUUUAUCCUUG
rnacentral:lncRNA from 1 species